GCAGACACAUUCCAGCCAAUCAGCAGCAGACCCUCCCUCCCAGACCAUCCUCCUCCUGGACAGCAUCCAUUGUGAAGCUGCAUUCUUAGUGAGCUGUCCAGGAGGUGGGAGGGUGUGGGAGGGAGGGUCUGCUGCUGAUUGGCUGGAAUGUGUCUG